CCAAGGCUAAUUGACACUCUCACUCUUUUGAGGCGCUGCCAGGCCAGAAGUUGGGGGAGGGAAGUACUUGAGGCUUGGCCCUCCCCUCCUGGAUUCCACGUUCAGAUACCAAGAUGUCCCUUUGGUCUCUCCAAGAUUGUUGAUCCCACCAGGUAGGGACCUCUAGACUCUGAUGGGUCCUCACUCAUAGACCCCAGAGGCAGCUCUGCCACAGCCUUUGUGAACCAGGGAAGAGAGCCUGUGGUGGCUGUCACUCCCACUAGGUUGACCCCAGCUUGAGGAUGGUGUCUUCACUGGGUGGAAUAUUCCAAGAGAGUAGGACACCUAGCGUUCACUCAAACCCUGGAAACCGUACCUGGAACACAGUUACCAAGAGGGUCAAGAAAUCAAGGCAGCCGUGGAUCUUAUCAUCUGGGAUUUUUGAGUGGUCAGAUCAGCGAAGCAGCGUAAGGAAAAGGAAAGGACUCAUCGUUCCAGGGAAUGGAAAAUGCCUGUAGCCCGGAGUCUUAGCCAGCGCAGAGAUUGAGCAAGUUAUGUUUCCUCCUCUGCGAAGAAGGUAACCAAGGCUGGAGAGAUGGCUCAGCAGUCCAGAGCACUGGCUACUCUUCCAGAAGACCCGGAAUCCAUUCCCGGCACCCACAUUUAAUGGCUCACAUCAUCUGUAACUCUAGUUCCAGGGGAUCUGAUGUCAUCUUCUGAGCACGGCAUACAUAUGGUUUGCAAACAUACUUUGAGUUCAAUGUAUAAAAAACUCACAUGCAUAAAAUUAAAAAAAUAUUUUAAUGGGAA